rnacentral:rRNA from 1 species
AUCUUUUAGUUAUAAUUAAAAGUGUGCUCUGCUCAAUGCUAAGUAAAUGGCCGCAGUAUUUUGACUGUGCAAAGGUAGCAUAAUAAUUAGUCUUGUAAUUUAAGACUGGAAUGAAAGAGUUAACCAAAAGAGAUCUCUCUAAGUGUGAGUUCUAAAUUUUACUUUUUAGUAAAAAGGCUAAAAUUAACCUUUUAGACAAGAAGACCCUAUAAAGUUUAACAUAAUAAGUUUAAAAUACUGAAAUUGUGUUUGGCUGGGGCGGCAGGAAAAUAAACAUUUUUAGAUCUUAAUUAUCUUAAUUCUUAUACCCAAAAAUUUUGAAUGUUAAAUAAAUUACUUUAGGGAUAACAGCGUAAUAUAUUCAGAAAGCUCAAAUCGACGAAUAUGUUUGCGACCUCGAUGUUGGAUUAGGUUUCCUUUAUUAUGCAAAAGUAAUAAUAGGAGGUCUGUUCGACCUUUAAAAAUCUCCA